rnacentral:tmRNA from 1 species
GGCCUGUUUUUCUCGCCGUUUUCGCCCUAUAUUGGGGGUGCCGGUUCGCCGGCUAUGGAAAUAAAUUGCCGUCGCAAUAAACCAUUCGGACCCGGGGGCAGUACCCGGCGCCUCCACCAAAAUCCGUCAGUUGGGCAUGAUGUUCAGCGGGUUUCGGCGGGGGCGAACCAGGAUCGACGAGGGCGUAAAGGGCGUGUUUUUUCCCGGUAUGGUUCCGCCGUUAUCGGGCUAUGCAAUAGUUGCAAACGACAACUAUGCUCCGGUUGCUCAGGCUGCGUAACGCAGUUUGAAAGACCAAGUCUAAAGUCCUGGUGGGUUAAGCUCCGCUAGGCGGGGUUCGGAGGCACCUGGCAACAGAAGCCUCCACU